AUUGAACGCUGGCGGCAGGCCUAACACAUGCAAGUCGAGCGAGCGGCGGACGGGUGAGUAAUGUCUGCGACACUGCCAGAUGGAGGGGGAUAACUACUGGAAACGGUCGCCAAUACCGCAUACCAUCAGAUGUGCCCAGAUGGGAUUAGCGAGUAGGUGGGGUAAUGGCUCACCUAGGCGACGAUCCCUAGCGGGUCUGAGAGGAUGACCAGCCACACUGGAACUGAGACACGGUCCAGACUCCUACGGGAGGCAGCAGUGGGGAAUAUUGCACAAUGGGCGCAAGCCUGAUGCAGCCAUGCCGCGUGUGUGAAGAAGGCCUUCGGGUUGUAAAGCACUUUCAGCGAGGAGGCGUUACUCGCAGAAGAAGCACCGGCUAACUCCGUGCCAGCAGCCGCGGUAAUUC
rnacentral:rRNA from 1 species